UACGAAGGGGGCUAGCGUUGCUCGGAAUCACUGGGCGUAAAGCGCACGUAGGCGGCUUUCUAAGUCAGGGGUGAAAUCCUGGAGCUCAACUCCGGAACUGCCUUUGAUACUGGAGAGCUUGAGUCCGGGAGAGGUGAGUGGAACUCCGAGUGUAGAGGUGAAAUUCGUAGAUAUUCGGAAGAACACCAGUGGCGAAGGCGGCUCACUGGCCCGGUACUGACGCUGAUGUGCGAAAGCGUGGGGAGCAAACAGG
rnacentral:rRNA from 1 species